UUUUUGUCCUGUGUUGGAUUGGUAUGAAUAGAUAAAAGAUGAAAUUUUAGCUGGUUAUAUCUAUAUCGAAUGAUUAUUUUGUUGGUUAGCUGAUUAUGUUACCGUUUUGCACAACGAAUGUAUUUGAUAAUGGCUACUUCAAAAUUUACUAUAGACUGGUCAACAUCUGUAAUAGAAUAAUCAAACGUUUGAAGAAGGGUUCAAUUAGGCAGCCAGAUUCCAUCUUAAAAAAACCUGGAAGUGUGAGAUUUGAAUUGAAUCUAGAUGAGAAAUGGUUAAUCAUUUUCGGUGUAAAAUUCUAAAACUGCCCCCAACUGACGCAACAUUUUCAAUUUGCCCAAAUUGGCCUGGCUAAUUAAAUUCAUACUUUAUUUCAUAGCUGACUCACUAUAAGUAUAGAUGGAUCAUAGUGAAUGUUGUAUUUUCUCUGCCAUUUAGUUACCAUCAAUAGAAAAGCAGUAUAAAACAAGAAGGGAAGACCUCACUACAAUGAUUGGCAUUGAAAUGUCUUCCCUCUUAGUAUUUAAUAGAAUGGAGAGAGAGAAAAUUUAAGAAAAUGAUAUAAAGGGAUUUAUGGAAGAUCUUCAAUAUUCUAGUUGCAGCAAAGAUUACAGAGCACUCUUGGAUAGAAGCUGAUGAUAAAAG
rnacentral:lncRNA from 1 species